CUUCGCCCCCCAAAAGCCAAAAAAAGUAGCAGAGAAUUCUCAUUUCCACGAUUCACUACUCUUCAUCGAAACAAGAAAUAUGCAGAGGCUUACGUGUUCCAUCGCCGAGAAUUUUGAUCUCUGCAGAAGGAAAAAGAUGAGGGAGAGAGAGAGAGAGAGAGAGUGAGAGAGAGAGAGAGAGAGAGAGAGAGAGAGAGAGAAAGAGAGAGAGAGAGA